AUGAAAGAAAGGGAGGGAGGGAGGGAGGGAGAUAAUUGCCUCCAGGGAGCUAAGGAGUUGUCAGGUGCCACUCCCUUUCUGCGGCCCCGGGGAUUUUUAUCUGAGCUCCUUUCCGCAUGUCUGCCUCUUUCACUUUUCAGCGUCAGUGCUGGUUUAUCAGCAUGCACAGGACUCCCAGGGAUCAGCAGCCCCUGCACUGGCCCACCUCACAGACCUGUCUCAUCUCUGUCUGGCCAGGCGCACCCCUUCAUUCAAAUGGUCUCAGGAGAGGCUCCCAUUGGAUGCUGGGCGUCAGCGGCUUGGCAGACAUCACCUUUCCUUCCUGAUGGUCCUGGGCCUGAAGGUUUCACGUGGCUGCCAUCACAGAGCCCUCGGCUUUCCUGGGUCCACUCCAACACAGAAAAGGCUUUGUUGUCGGAGUUAACCUCCCAGCCUGAACGCCUGGAGCUGGAAGAGCCAUUUCCUUGUGGCAAUGCUGUUGCCAUAGUUACGAGGCCCUCCUCGGGUGCUUUCCAGAUUACAGAUACUGCUUGAAAAACAAACGAGCUUCUUCGUCUGUAUCCGCACCAUGUCUGUUGUUUUAUUCUUGGAUGGAAAAACCAUGGUGACCCUCGGACAGGGAAGGUAGCCCCAUCCUGGCGCCAGGAUUCACCAGCACAGUGAGUGUGGCGAGGAUUUAUCAUCAAUCGUGCACACCCCGUGGUUUGGCAAAUGGAAUUUACGCUUUUACAUAAAUGCCUUGACAUUCUGUCUGUCUCACAUCUUCCUGCUAGUUACUUCAAUAAGAAAAUAAAACCGCUCCGCUUCAAACACAUGUAUUACGGAUAAAGCAAGAAGUGACUUAUUACUGUUACACGGAUUUUAAAAAAAUAAGUAAAAAUUAUCAUGAUCAACUAAAAACCGUAAAUUCUUUGCCGGUGAUCAGAAUUAGCCCAGGUGAAGCACAGAUGGACCGUGCCGGGCCCUAAAGGAAAGCAAAGAUCUCAGAGGGAGCACCAGCAUUGCUUCAGCAUCCCCGCUCCAGGAGGGGUCUCUCGUAGAGAACCUGCUGGAAGCCGGCCCCACAUACCAACCAUGGAUAGGAAGGUAGCACGGGCUGAGACAGGACGAGCCUCAUGUGUGCACCUGCCAUUGCAAUGCUCAGGCAACCCAAUCUACACAAGUACAACAGCGCACCAGGGGCAUCAUUAUUGACCUUGGAAUGCAAAACCCGCAAGGACUGAGCACCACUGAAUCCAUGCCAAGAGGAAAAUUACGUGUGUUUUGGGGGGGGGGUUCUGUUUUUGAGUUUCUUUUGCACAAUGAAGACUUCUGGGUAAGUGGCUAUGGAGGCACAAUGCCUGAUGAGAAUUAAAAGCACCAGCUUGGAAGUCAGGCAAGCCUGGAGUCAACUCCCAGCCCCCCUCGCCCCCCACCAGCCCCGAGGACUUAGGUAAGCCACGGAGUGUUUCUGAGUGUCAGUUUCCUCGUGGCAAAGCAGGAAUGAUGAUACCAAUUGUAUGAGAUAAUGUAAUGAGAUACUGCGGGUAAAAUGCUGGAGGCAACACUCAAGACACAACGUGGUAAACGAUGGAUAAGCGGUAUAACAAUGAGAAGAAAGCGGGUGGGGGAGGGGGAGGGUCCGCGGAAGGCGGUGUCCCCAACAGAAGGAAGAAGGCAGAGAGAGGUGGACGAUUCCGAGAAGGAGCAGUGGUGGGAGGAUUCACGCUGUUUACAAUAUCUGUCAUGUACCAACGGGGUGGAAACUGUGAGUCAUGGCCUCGAGGUGCAAAGUGACCUGGGUUCAAAUCCU
rnacentral:lncRNA from 9 species